rnacentral:rRNA from 1 species
AGAGUUUGAUCAUGGCUCAGAACGAACGCUGGCGGCAUGCCUAAUACAUGCAAGUCGAACGGGAUCCGUCCUUUCGGGGACGGUGAGAGUGGCGCACGGGUGAGUAACGCGUGGGAACCUGCCCUGUGGUAGGGGAUAACUGCGGGAAACUGCAGCUAAUACCCUAUGUGUCCUAUGGGAGAAAGAUUUAUCGCCAUAGGAGGGGCCCGCGUCGGAUUAGGUAGUUGGCGGGGUAAUGGCCCACCAAGCCUACGAUCCGUAGCUGGUCUGAGAGGAUGAUCAGCCACACUGGGACUGAGACACGGCCCAGACUCCUACGGGAGGCAGCAGUAGGGAAUAUUGGACAAUGGGCGCAAGCCUGAUCCAGCAAUGCCGCGUGAGUGAAGAAGGCCCUAGGGUUGUAAAGCUCUUUCGGCGGGGACGAUGAUGACGGUACCCGCAGAAGAAGCCCCGGCUAACUCCGUGCCAGCAGCCGCGGUAAUACGGAGGGGGCAAGCGUUGUUCGGAGUCACUGGGCGUAAAGGGCGCGUAGGCGGUGCAUCAAGUCAGGCGUGAAAGCCCCGGGCUUAACCUGGGAAUUGCGCUUGAUACUGAUGCGCUCGAGAGCGGGAGAGGAUGGCGGAAUUCCCAGUGUAGAGGUGAAAUUCGUAGAUAUUGGGAAGAACACCGGGCGAAGGCGGCCAUCUGGACCGUUUCUGACGCUGAGGCGCGAAAGCGUGGGGAGCAAACAGGAUUAGAUACCCCGGUAGUCC